UACAGACAACUCAGAUUGUAGCCUUCGCUUUAAUCCCUCUUUUGCCUAGAUCACCCUUUCGGGUUUUCAAUCCACCGGGAUACCCAUUUUUGCCUAAGCCGCCCUUGCGGGUUUUCGACUUACCGAGUGUACAAAUUCUUUUCAUUUUUUUUAUCCCUAACUUUUGCCCGAACCUUUUUUUUUUUUUUGGUUCGCCAGGAUGCCCUUUUU
rnacentral:lncRNA from 1 species